rnacentral:rRNA from 1 species
GAUGAACGCUGGCGGCGUGCCUAAUACAUGCAAGUCGAGCGAACGGACGAGAAGCUUGCUUCUCUGAUGUUAGCGGCGGACGGGUGAGUAACACGUGGAUAACCUACCUAUAAGACUGGGAUAACUUCGGGAAACCGUAGCUAAUACCGGAUAAUAUUUUGAACCGCAUGGCUCAAAAGUGAAAGACGGUCUUGCUGUCACUUAUAGAUGGAUCCGCGCUGCAUUAGCUAGUUGGUAAGGUAACGGCUUACCAAGGCAACGAUGCAUAGCCGACCUGAGAGGGUGAUCGGCCACACUGGAACUGAGACACGGUCCAGACUCCUACGGGAGGCAGCAGUAGGGAAUCUUCCGCAAUGGGCGAAAGCCUGACGGAGCAACGCCGCGUGAGUGAUGAAGGUCUUCGGAUCGUAAAACUCUGUUAUUAGGGAAGAACAUAUGUGUAAGUAACUGUGCACAUCUUGACGGUUCCUAAUCAGAAAGCCACGGCUAACUACGUG